rnacentral:lncRNA from 1 species
UAUUUCAAAUGCUUUUUAUUGCAUAUUGUUGCUAUGCACAGUUAGAUAUCCAGCUAUUACAUUGUGAAUGAAGUUUAUCGGCCGUUGAGGGGGCUAUGAUGACUAAACGUGAUUUGCCAGCUCAUAUUCUUUUUGAGUUGAUUCUUACUUGAUCUAGAUCUUGGUGGGUCCUUAUGAACGGACUAAAGAUGGUUUUCAAGAUCCCAUGAGCAGGGCUGAUGGGCCCGAGUUUAUUACACAAUG